UACAGAGGUCUCAAGCGUUGUUCGGAUUUACUGGGCGUAAAGGGCGCGUAGGCGGUCAGCACAAGUCAGUUGUGAAAUCUCCGGGCUUAACUCGGAAAGGUCAACUGAUACUGUGCGACUAGAGUGCAGAAGGGGCAACUGGAAUUCUCGGUGUAGCGGUGAAAUGCGUAGAGAUCAUGAGGAAGACCAGUGGCGAAGGCGGGUCUCUGGACAGUUCCUGACACUGAGGCACGAAGGCCAGGGGAGCAAACGGG
rnacentral:rRNA from 1 species